rfam:Thecamonas trahens ATCC 50062 unplaced genomic scaffold supercont1.5, whole genome shotgun sequence.
GCCGCGCUAGCUCAGAUGGCAGAGCGCACGCCUUUUAAGCGUCGAGGUCGCGGGUUCGAGCCCCGUGCGCGGUG